GUGUUAAUCCUAUUUUUCCUUGGAGACAAUAUGGUUGACUGGAGAAACUGUAACACUGUGGCAUUGCAAGACAACCAGAUUGCAAGGUUCCUUAACCAGACGAUAUCAUGGGAGAUGUAGUUUGACCAAGGAGCCUGGCCCAUACUGGAGAAUGGGACCAUGAGGCACCAGGACUACAGCACCAGUGAAGCACCUGUCCAGCCUUUCCAAAUCGAAGCGUUUCCGUUUUCAACAACUGAUUGUUUUGAUGAAAGCUCAGCACUUUCUGUGGAAAAAUUUGACCUAAACAAUGUUUUUGCAGUGUCGUCAGCUCCUGCAGGUGGGUCUCAGCCAUGGUCACCUGGUCUCGGAUGCGGGAGCUCAUCUGUUCACAGUUCUUCAUUUGGAUCUCCAGCUGACUGAGCUUCAUUCCCUUUUGCUUCUGCUCAUCUGCCA